rnacentral:rRNA from 1 species
GAUGAACGCUGGCGGCGUGCCUAAUACAUGCAAGUCGAGCGAACGGACGAGAAGCUUUCUUCUCUGCUGUUAGCGGCGGACGGGUGAGUAACACGUGGAUAACCUACCUAUAAGACUGGGAUAACUUCGGGAAACCGGAGCUACUACCGGAUAAUAUUUUGAACCGCAUGGUUCAAAAGUGAAAGACGGUCUUGCUGUCACUUAUAGAUGGAUCCGCGCUGCAUUAGCUAGUUGGUAAGGUAACGGCUUACCAAGGCAACGAUGCAUAGCCGACCUGAGAGGGUGAUCAGCCACACUGGAACUGAGACACGGUCCAGACUCCUACGGGAGGCAGCAGUAGGGAAUCUUCCGCAAUGGGCGAAAGCCUGACGGAGCAACGCCGCGUGAGUGAUGAAGGUCUUCGGAUCGUAAAACUCUGUUAUUAGGGAAGAACAUAUGUGUAAGUAACUGUGCACAUCUUGACGGUACCUAAUCAGAAAGCCACGGCUAACUACGUG